AUUUGGAUGUGUUUGGGAGGAGUUUAAGUGUAGUCCUAUUAAUAUUGUUUGAGAUAAGUUAAAAUUGUUUCCUGGCAAUUCAUCAGAAGCAGUGUGGGGUGUUGGCAAGAGGCCUCCUCUGGGGAAAGAACACUGGGUUCUGUCUCCUCUGGCCUAUGACCUUAAGCAAGUUAUUAGCUUCCUCAAGCCUCAAUCUUCUCAGCGGUAAAAUGGGGAUGAUAAUUAUCUGCAAAGCAAGGCUAAUAUCAGCCUUGGGUUUCCCACAGGGUGGUUAUGAAGAUAAAAUGCAAUAAAUGUGUGUGAGGGCAACUGACGAGCCAGGAAGCCUUGGCAUCCAGAGUUAUUACUGGGACGUCAUGGGAAAUGAGGAUAUGGGAACAGAGUAUUUAUGCAUUUAUUCAAACUCAUCUCUAACAACCGUGCUUUGAAGGCUGGCUGCAUCCCAGGCCCUACAGUUAGCCUGGCCUCCAGAGCUCUUGGACUGCAGCACCCAUAAUGAUGGCCAAAGCCGCCCCCACGGCGACUCCUCCUGCUGAAGCAAAGUCAGGCAGAACAAUAAGAUGAGCAUGGUGGUGCAGGCCUGUAAUCUCAGCUCCUCAGGCGGGAGGAUCACUUGAUCCCCGGAAGUUUGAAGCUGGACUGCGCUGACCGCACCUGUGAAUACCACUGCCCGUCAAUCAGCCUAGGGGAAACAUUCUCGAGUGCGAGCAUGACGGCUUAGGUUGAUGUUUUUCAAAUUUUCCCAAUGAUGAGUAUUGUAAGGGACCAAAAUAAAAA
rnacentral:lncRNA from 1 species